AUAAAACUCACCAGUCUCCACAGCUGAAGGAGUAACCAGGAUCGUUGUUGUCAACGGCGCUCUUCUUGUUGCUGCGCUCUUCUUGAUGCGGCGCUCUUCUCGCUCCUUCUAGGAUGGGAAGAAAAGACGAGUCGUAACAGCAGCACUCUUGCAUUCAAUGCACACCACUGUCCUGCCUCAACCUCGUGGCUCGCGUUAGGAAAUGACCACUACCAGUGGCCUCGGUUCCUGGCGAGGGGAGCAAAACUCUAUCAGCUUCGUUCUCUUGUCUUCCACUCUUUAGCCACGUUCCACGGUGGAAGAGAACUGAGAGAAUCUAGAAGCCGCUGCAAAACGACGACCCUCCUCCGUGGAAAGACGGUCUCCUGCUUUUUCAAGCACCACCAGAGCCAGACGGGCCAGCCUUUUCUUUUCGCGCUUGUAUGACGGUGCGGAAUGAAUGCCAUCUCUUGUGUAGAGCACUUAGCGUGAGAGGUCCUGACCCCUCUGUCCCUGCACAAUGAAAUCACGUGCAGCUUGUUAUACCCAAAAUUAGCAAAGAGAUGUGUUUGAUCUUA